rnacentral:rRNA from 1 species
CAGUCGCCACGGUAAUACGUAGGUGGCAAGUGUUGUCCGGAAUUAUUGGGCGUAAAGAGCUCGCAGGCGGUUUCUUAAGUCUGGUGUGAAAGCCCCCGGCUCAACCGGGGAGGGUCAUUGGAAACUGGGAAACUUGAGUGCAGAAGAGGAGAGUGGAAUUCCACGUGUAGCGGUGAAAUGCGUAGAGAUGUGGAGGAACACCAGUGGCGAAGGCGGCCAUCUGGGACAACACUGACGCUGAGGCACGAAAGCGUGGGGAGCAAACAGGAUUAGAGACCCCUGUAGUUCCUGUCUCUUAUAC